rnacentral:rRNA from 1 species
CUACGGGCUGCUCCAGUGGGGAAUAUUGCACAAUGGAGGAAACUCUGAUGCAGCAACGCCGCGUGGAGGAUGACGCAUUUCGGUGUGUAAACUCCUUUUAUAUGUCAAGAAAAUGACGGUAGCAUAUGAAUAAGCACCGGCUAACUCCGUGCCAGCAGCCGCGGUAAUACGGAGGGUGCAAGCGUUACUCGGAAUCACUGGGCGUAAAGGACGCGUAGGCGGGUUGGAAAGUCAGGUGUGAAAUCCUACAGCUUAACUGUAGAACUGCACUUGAAACUUCUAAUCUAGAGUAUGGGAGGGGGAGAUGGAAUUAGUGGUGUAGGGGUAAAAUCCGUAGAUAUCACUAGGAAUACCUAAAGCGAAGGCGAUCUCCUGGAACAUUACUGACGCUAAGGCGUGAAAGCGUGGGGAGCAAACAGGAUUAGAUACCCCGGUAGUC